rnacentral:rRNA from 1 species
AUUGAACGCUGGCGGCAUGCCUUACACAUGCAAGUCGAACGGUAACAGGUCUUCGGAUGCUGACGAGUGGCGAACGGGUGAGUAAUACAUCGGAACGUGCCCGAUCGUGGGGGAUAACGAAGCGAAAGCUUUGCUAAUACCGCAUAAGAUCUACGGAUGAAAGCAGGGGACCGCAAGGCCUUGCGCGAACGGGGCGGCCGAUGGCAGAUUAGGUAGUUGGUGGGCUAAAAGCUUACCAAGCCGACGAUCUGUAGCUGGUCUGAGAGGACGACCAGCCACACUGGGACUGAGACACGGCCCAGACUCCUACGGGAGGCAGCAGUGGGGAAUUUUGGACAAUGGGCGAAAGCCUGAUCCAGCCAUGCCGCGUGCAGGAUGAAGGCCUUCGGGUUGUAAACUGCUUUUGUACGGAACGAAAAGACUCUUUCUAAUAAAGAGGGUCCAUGACGGUACCGUAAGAAUAAGCACCGGCUAACUACGUGCCAGCAGCCGCGGUAACAC